rnacentral:lncRNA from 1 species
UAGGAGAGGAGGUGCUACUCUGAUUGAUAUUUUAAGGCUGUAUAUAAAAUGGAAAAAUUCUUCUCACUCUCUGCUUGUCGUUCUGGGCUGCAUUUGUAUCUGGGGGCUCGAUGCUUCCUUGCUGUUGUAUUUGCACAUACUGGGAAUAAAGACAAACUGAAACAAUGCCAGAACCCACUAAAACAGCUGGUCAAAUAAAGGACUACCUACUGGCGACCCACCAUUCCAUUUUUAAACAAUGCCUCAGAAGCCAGUGUGCAGAGGUAUUCUUAGAAAUAAAGAUGACCCUGAUUCUUGG